rnacentral:lncRNA from 1 species
UCAUAGAUUUAGAGUUGGUUUGACAAGCUGUUGUGAAGUCAUGACUGAUACAGGUAAAGAGAGAUGUGCUCAGCAAGUGGUAGAACAAUAACAUAUCACCCUCGGGAAUAUGCAGCUCAGCCUCCAAGUUUUAUAGAUGACUAAAUGUUUGUGAAAAGUCACAGCCUAGCUUUAAUUGUGGAAUGACCUGGUUGUAUAGUGGAUCUGGAAGCAGAAACAAAACAGAAUAGACAGGAAAAAAAAAAAAGACCGAUCUUGGAUGAUGUGAUUUAAUGGGUUUCAGUUAAAGCUUGGAAGAGUAAAUCAAAAACUAACUUAAUAUUUGUUGUAGGUUCUUACCAUUUAUUUUACGGAACGACACUACCAGCAUUAAUGGUUUAAAGAGAAACAGCUCAAACUAGUGAUGAUGUGGACUUCAGUAUUGUCCCUUCAAGAAAGUGUCUGUGAAUUAGAUGGAAAAAUACUGCAGCUGAACAUAACGUUGUUUUGUCACUAGCAAAUUCACUGCUGGCACUGAAUUCAGCCUGCAACAGUAAAGAGGUCAUGACACAACAUCUGUUUUGUGGAGAGCAUAGUUAUUACCACCAGUAAUACUGUGAACGCUGGAAUGGAAAAAAUAACUCUAGACCAGAGCUGCUGUAGUAAUGUCUUUGACCAUUGUGUGGGUUACAGGAGCUGGAUUUCCCCUGGAUGUGUGCUUGGAAGGCCUGACAAGGAAUAAUUCCAGCCACAAAUAAGGCCAUGACCCUGCAAAACAAGAAGUGCUAGCGGCUGCUUUUUGCACCAACGUGAAGUUGACAUGGAGCUUUGCUUGCAGCAUUAAGCAGGUGAACAGUAAAGAAAGCAGUUGCCAGUUACAUCCAGGGUGUUUUAAUCAGAGAGAGACUUCCAGUCAGUGUCCACAGCUAGUUGAGCAGCUAGGGAUUUUAUUAUUUCUAUUGGUCUUAAUGUGAAGUGUGCCAAAGUGACAGUAUGGAGCAUUUUCUGCACUGAUGCCUGUGAGUGGGGUUAACGUUAGCCCACUUUCUAUAAGAAACUUGGCCAGAGGGGUUUUGCUGCGGGCUACCUGGUAGAUCACUG